UAGAGUUUGAUCCUGGCUCACAUUGAACGCUGGCGGCAUGCCUUACACAUGCAAGUCGGACGGCAGCGCGGGCUUCGGCCUGGCGGCGAGUGGCGAACGGGUGAGUAAUACAUCGGAACAUGUCCAGUNNNGGGGGAUAGCCCGGCGAAAGCCGGAUUAAUACCGCAUACGAUCUGUGGAUGAAAGCGGGGGAUCGCAAGACCUCGCGCUAUUGGGGUGGCCGAUGGCGGAUUAGCUAGUUGGUGGGGUAAAGGCCUACCAAGGCGACGAUCCGUAGCUGGUCUGAGAGGACGACCAGCCACACUGGGACUGAGACACGGCCCAGACUCCUACGGGAGGCAGCAGUGGGGAAUUUUGGACAAUGGGCGCAAGCCUGAUCCAGCAAUGCCGCGUGUGUGAAGAAGGCCUUCGGGUUGUAAAGCACUUUUGUCCGGAAAGAAAUCCUUUUCGAUAAUACCGAAGGGGGAUGACGGUACCGGAAGAAUAAGCACCGGCUAACUACGUGCCAGCAGCCGCGGUAAUACGUAGGGUGCGAGCGUUAAUCGGAAUUACUGGGCGUAAAGCGUGCGCAGGCGGUGAUGCAAGACCGAUGUGAAAUCCCCGGGCUUAACCUGGGAACUGCAUUGGUGACUGCAUCGCUAGAGUAUGGCAGAGGGGGGUAGAAUUCCACGUGUAGCAGUGAAAUGCGUAGAGAUGUGGAGGAAUACCGAUGGCGAAGGCAGCCCCCUGGGUCAAUACUGACGCUCAUGCA
rnacentral:rRNA from 1 species